GUCCUUGCCGUAAACGAUGUAUACUUGAUGUAGUUGGGCUCAACCCUGACUGUGUCGAAGCUAACGCGAUAAGUAUACCGCCUGGGGAGUACGCUCGCAAGGGUGAAACUCAAAAGAAUUGACGGGGGCCCGCACAAGCAGUGGAGCAUGUGGUUUAAUUCGAUGCAACGCGAAGAACCUUACCCAGGUUUGACAUACAGGAGACGAUACCAGAGACGGUAUUUUCCGCAAGGACUGCUGUACAGGUGCUGCAUGGCUGUCGU
rnacentral:rRNA from 1 species